rnacentral:rRNA from 1 species
CCUACGGGAGGCAGCAGUGGGGAAUCUUGGACAAUGGGCGAAAGCCUGAUCCAGCCAUGCCGCGUGAGCGAUGAAGGCCUUAGGGUUGUAAAGCUCUUUCGCCAGGGAAGAUAAUGACGGUACCUGGUAAAGAAACCCCGGCUAACUCCGUGCCAGCAGCCGCGGUAAU